AUAUUUCGGAACUGAGUCUAGUUCCUUCGACAUCAAUGUAAUCUAGUAAUCAUGAUUUUCUGUGUUGACAUCGAAGGAACUAGACUCAGUUCAGAAAUAU